GCCCGGCUAGCUCAAUCGGUAGAGCGUGAGACUCUUAAGGAUCAAGAUUCUCCGUAAAUCUCAAGGUUGUGGGUUCGACCCCCACGUCGGGCU